AGUGGCGGACGGGUGAGUAACACGUAAGAAUUUACCUUUAGGAGGGGGACAACAACUGGAAACGGUUGCUAAUACCCCAUAUGCUUUCGAGUGAAAUGGAUUUUUCCGCCUAGAGAGAAGCUUGCGGCUGAUUAGCUUGUUGGUGAGGUAAUGGCUUACCAAGGCGACGAUCAGUAUCUGGUUUGAGAGGAUGAUCAGACACACUGGAACUGAGACACGGUCCAGACUCCUACGGGAGGCAGCAGUGGGGAAUUUUCCGCAAUGGGCGAAAGCCUGACGGAGCAAUCUCGCGUGAGGGAUGACGGCCUAUGGGUUGUAAACCUCUUUUUUCAGGGAGGAACAAAAUGACGUGUACCUGAAGAACAAGCAUCGGCUAACUCCGUGCCAGCAGCCGCGGUAAGACGGAGGAUGCAAGUGUUAUCCGGAAUCACUGGGCGUAAAGCGUCUGUAGGUGGUUUAAUAAGUCAACUGUUAAAUCUUGAAGCUCAACUUCAAAAUCGCAGUCGAAACUAUUAGACUAGAGUAUAGUAGGGGUAAAGGGAAUUUCCAGUGGAGCGGUGAAAUGCGUAGAUAUUGGAAAGAACACCGAUGGCGAAGGCACUUUACUGGGCUAUUACUGACACUCAGAGACGAAAGCUAGGGUAGCAAAUGGGAUUAGAUACCCCAGUAGUCCUAGCCGUAAACAAUGGAUACUAGAUGU
rnacentral:rRNA from 1 species